AGCAGCCGCGGUAAUACGAAGGGACCUAGCGUAGUUCGGAAUUACUGGGCUUAAAGAGUUCGUAGGUGGUUGAAAAAGUUGGUGGUGAAAUCCCAGAGCUUAACUCUGGAACUGCCAUCAAAACUUUUCAGCUAGAGUAUGAUAGAGGAAAGCAGAAUUUCUAGUGUAGAGGUGAAAUUCGUAGAUAUUAGAAAGAAUACCAAUUGCGAAGGCAGCUUUCUGGAUCAUUACUGACACUGAGGAACGAAAGCAUGGGUAGCGAAGAGGAUUAGAUACCCUCGUAGUCCAUGCCGUAAACGAUGUGUGUUAGACGUUGGAAAUUUAUUUUCAGUGUCGCAGCGAAAGCGAUAAACACACCGCCUGGGGAGUACGACCGCAAGGUUAAAACUCAAAUGAAUUGACGGGGACCCGCACAAGUAGUGGAGCAUGUGGUUUAAUUCGAAGAUACGCGCAGAACCUUACCAACACUUGACAUGUUCGUCGCGACUUUGAGAGAUCAAAGUUUUCGGUUCGGCCGGACGAAACACAGGUGCUGCAUGGCUGUCGUCAGCUCGUGUCGUGAGAUGUUGGGUUAAGUCCCGCAACGAGCGCAACCCUCACUUUUAGUUGCCAUCAUUAAGUUGGGCACUCUGAAAGAACUGCCAGUGAUAAGCUGGAGGAAGGUGGGGAUGACGUCAAGUCCUCAUGGCCCUUACGUGUUGGGCUACACACGUGCUACAAUGGUAUCUACAACAGGAAGCAAAACUGCGAGGUUAAGCAAAUCCUUAAAAGAUACCUCAGUUCGGAUUGCACUCUGCAACUCGAGUGCAUGAAGCUGGAAUUACUAGUAAUCGUGGAUCAGCGUGCCACGGUGAAUGCGUUCCCGGGUCUUGUACACACCGCCCGUCACACCAUGGGAGUUGGUUCUACCUUAAGGCAAGGUUUCAAACCCUUGACCACGGUAUAGUCAGCGACUGGGGUGAAGUCGUAACAAGGUAGCCG
rnacentral:rRNA from 1 species